rnacentral:tRNA from 1 species
GGGGAUAUAGUUUAACUGGUAAAACUCCGAUUUUGCGUAUCGAUAUUCUUGGAUCGACACCAAGUUUCUCCA